rnacentral:lncRNA from 1 species
GGAAAAGAGUGACCAAGCAGCUGUUCCGUUGCCGGAGAUGGCUGGUCCAGACAGUUUUGAUUCUGAUUUUCCUUCACACAGAUACCGAUCCAUUGCCUCUGGUGACCAGUGGCUUGUGAGACCUGUCUAUGACCCCCAGGGAUGGGAUCACGAUGUUGGGUUUGAUGGAAUAAACAUUGAGACAGCUGCAAAAGUGAAAAAGAAUCUAUUUGCUUCAGCUAACGGACAGGUGAGCAGAGAUAAGCAACGCUUCACCAUCCACUCCGAGACUAACGCAGCUUACACUACAGACUCUAAAUUACAAACAUUCUCCGUAGCUGCCGACGUCCAGUCAUCAGGAGACGAUCUUGUCUACACGUUUCACGGCGGCACGAAGCUUAAAACAUUUAAGCACAACACAACAGAUCUCGGAGUUGGUUUGACAUCUUUUGGCGGGAAGUACUACUUAGCUGGAAAGAUUGAGGAUUCCUUGAUGGUUGGGAAGAGGGUGAAGCUAACAGUGAAUGCAGGUCAGAUGAACGGUUCAGGGGGAACAGCACAUGGAGGGAGCUUUGAAGCUUGUAUCAGAGGGAGAGAUUACCCGGUGAGAAACGAGCAAAUCGGUGUGACGGUGACGGCUCUGUCUUUCAACAAAGAGCUAGUGUUGAACUGGGGGUUACAGACUCAGGUUAGACCAAGCCGGGACACGAACGUAGACGUUAGCGUAAACAUGAACAACAGGAAAAUGGGGAAGAUAAACGUGAAACUCAACAGCUCCGAGCACUGGGAGAUCGCGUUGAUCUCAGCGUUUACGCUUUUCAAGGCGUUGAUACGGAGGAAGAAAGCUGUUAGUGAAAUAACAAACGAAAAUGAGGAAGAGUUGUGAGUGUUCUUGUUCUCCUGGUUUCUCUUUAGGUAAAAAGAAAAUGAUAUUUUGGACAUAUGAAUAGAUAACCCGACGAUGUGUACAAGAGAUGUAAGCGAUGUUUUGAAGACAAAACAGGAAUAUCACAUGCACAUUUGCUUCCCUUGUUGUAUGUAAUACUCUCGUUUUGUUGGUCCAGUACUCCAGUUCAGUGUCAUGUUUAUGUGGUUCGUUAGAAUAACCUUUGGGCUCUCUCAAAUAUGUUGUCAAAAAGCUUUGGGAGUACUAGCUGAUGCCCCGCGCAAAUGCGCGGUUUUAUUUUAUGAGGAUUUAUUUUAUGAUUAUGAUUUUAGUAAAAAGAUUUUAGAUCUUAACAAACAAACACAAUGGAUAGAAAAAAUAGUUAUAUACCAAUUAUUUUCUUACCUUUUCUUCUCACUUUUAAUUUUUUAUAGUGAAGUUUCUUGUUUAAUCAUUCUUAUAAUUGUAGUUGUAAUAAAAAUGACCUUAUAAUUGACUAUAAUGAAUCGAACCGGAUUUUGGAUAAUUCGGUUCAUUACUCGACUAAGUACACAAAACCAAUCACAUAUAAAAUUAAAUUCAGUUUUCAGUUAUUAUUUUAAAGUGCCAUUUCUUUCAUUUUUCAAAAUAGUAAGGAUCGGUUUGGUUAAUGAAAACCGAACAAUUAACCGAUCUAAAAAAAAAACUAAAAGAGAAAAAGAAAAAGUUUGUCACCCAAAUGUCUAAACCAAACCUAAUUUCUCUUUUCGUUUUGUUCUCCGGGUACAGCCGUCUCUUUCUUUUAUUGCAUCUCCUUCUUUUACCUCAGAUUAUUGCUUCAUCUCCUUCUUCAUCUCAUCUCAUGCUUCUUAUUCCUUUGUUGUUGCGUUUCUUCUCUGGAUCAAUUAACACAUAUUUUUUUUCAUCUCUUUUUUUUAAACGAAAUUAUAUUAAAAUUUUAACCCAAAAGGGUAUCAGAAUCUUACAUUCCGACACGGGAGAAACGUUUGCAAGACCAACAUGACGAGGAUUAGACAAGACAUCGAAACAAAAAACACAGCAAAAUCUACGACCCAAAAAAAUCUAAAGAGAGAAGAUACUCAAGCGAGGGUGAGAAGACCUACCAAGGAGCCUCAACUCUGACGAACACUGAUGGUUAGCGGAUCCGACGCCACCACAGACGUCACGACAGCCGGUGUGUUCAAAACCAACCAUGGAUCCAUCUACAAUUAUUCUUCUCAGAAAGAGCCACGAGGUUCUCGGCGAUGUACAGUCUCUGCUGAGGUUUCGUGACAGCAUUGGUUUGGGACAGGCGAGUGGUACACGAACAGCUUCUCUUCCUCAUCUUCUUUCGGUUUUUCUGCGGCGGCGUUUAUCGUCAGGUGGAGAUGAAGCGGAGAGGGAGAUAGACGAGCUUAUGGAUUCGGAGUUGGAGGAGGAGGAGGAGGAUGAGUAUGACCAGCUGCCUGCGAUCCGGAUCCUUGGGAAAACCCGGUUCGAGAAGCUGUCAAAGUCUCAGAAGAGAGAGUAUCUCGAUGAGCUUGAUUACAGAGAAACUCUUUAUCUCAAGAAACAGUUGAAGGAAGAAUGUAGAAGACGAAAGGAUGAAAAGCUUAAUGAAGAGGAAGAGGAAAAGAGUGACCAAGCAGCUGUUCCGUUGCCGGAGAUGGCUGGUCCAGACAGUUUUGAUUCUGAUUUUCCUUCACACAGAUACCGAUCCAUUGCCUCUGGUGACCAGUGGCUUGUGAGACCUGUCUAUGACCCCCAGGGAUGGGAUCACGAUGUUGGGUUUGAUGGAAUAAACAUUGAGACAGCUGCAAAAGUGAAAAAGAAUCUAUUUGCUUCAGCUAACGGACAGGUGAGCAGAGAUAAGCA